GAUCGACUCUCUGGAGACACCCGCUUGGCGGGGGCCGAAGGUGCAACGUACGAAUAGGAAGCAGUAGGAGUGCAGUGACUAUGAAUAUAUCAUGGCACAGGCUGCUUCUCGUACGAAUCUCUCAGGCAACAGGACGGAGAAGAUAUU
rfam:[Eubacterium rectale] ATCC 33656 chromosome, complete genome.